rnacentral:rRNA from 1 species
UACGGGGGGAGGCAAGCGUUUGUUCGGAAUUACUGGGCGUAAAGGGCUCGUAGGCGGCCAACUAAGUCAGACGUGAAAUCCCUCGGCUUAAUCGGGGAACUGCGUCUGAUACUGGAUGGCUUGAGGUUGGGAGAGGGAUGCGGAAUUCCAGGUGUAGCGGUGAAAUGCGUAGAUAUCUGGAGGAACACCGGUGGCGAAGGCGGGC